rnacentral:tRNA from 1 species
GGUCGCAUAGCUCAGCUGGAUAGAGCAACUGCCUUCUAAGCAGUAGGUCUUUGGUUCGAACCCAAAUGCGAUCA